UACGUAGGGUGCAAGCGUUAUCCGGAAUUAUUGGGCGUAAAGAGCUCGUAGGCGGUUUGUCGCGUCUGCUGUGAAAACUGGGGGCUCAACUCCCAGCCUGCAGUGGGUACGGGCAGACUAGAGUGCGGUAGGGGAGAUUGGAAUUCCUGGUGUAGCGGUGGAAUGCGCAGAUAUCAGGAGGAACACCGAUGGCGAAGGCAGAUCUCUGGGCCGAUACUGACGCUGAGGAGCGAAAGCGUGGGGAGCGAACAGG
rnacentral:rRNA from 1 species